rnacentral:rRNA from 1 species
AGAACGAACGCUGGCGGCAUGCCUAACACAUGCAAGUCGAACGAGACCUUCGGGUUUAGUGGCGCACGGGUGCGUAACGCGUGGGAAUCUGCCCUUGGGUUCGGAAUAACAGUUGGAAACGACUGCUAAUACCGGAUGAUGACGUAAGUCCAAAGAUUUAUCGCCCAGGGAUGAGCCCGCGUAGGAUUAGCUAGUUGGUGAGGUAAAGGCUCACCAAGGCGACGAUCCUUAGCUGGUCUGAGAGGAUGAUCAGCCACACUGGGACUGAGACACGGCCCAGACUCCUACGGGAGGCAGCAGUGGGGAAUAUUGGACAAUGGGCGAAAGCCUGAUCCAGCAAUGCCGCGUGAGUGAUGAAGCCUUAGGUUGUAAAGCUACUUUUACCCGGGAAGAUAAUGACUGUACCGGAGAAUAAGCUCCGGCUAACUCCGUGACCAGCAGCCGAC